UGAAUACGAGGCACUAAGGUGCUGAAGUAGCGUAUGUCAUACUUCCAAGAAAAGCUUGCACUAUCGUAAGAUAAAAAUGCCUGUACCAUAACCGACACAGGUGGGUAGGUAGAGUAUACUAAGGGGCGCGAGAUAACUCUCUCUAAGGAACUCGGCAAAAUAACUCCGUAACUUCGGGAGAAGGAGUGCCUUAUUCUAUAAGGUUGCAAUAACAAGAUCCAAGCAACUGUUUAUCAAAAACACAGGUCUCCGCUAAGUCGUAAGACGAUGUAUGGGGGCUGACGCCUGCCCAGUGCCAGAAGGUUAAAGAAGUCGGUUAGCAAUUGCGAAGCUGGUAACUGAAGCCCUGGUGAACGGCGGCCGUAACAAUAACGGUCCUAAGGUAGCGAAAUUCCUUGUCGGGUAAGUUCCGACCCGCACGAAAGGCGUAAUGAUUUGGAUACUGUCUCGGAGAGGGACUCGGUGAAAUAGACUUGUCUGUGAAGAUGCGGACUACCUGCACCAGGACAGAAAGACCCUAUGAAGCUUUACUGUAACUUGAAAUUGAAAUUGGACUUUAUUCGCGCAGUAUAGGUGGGAGGCGUUGAUUAUAAUCUUGUGGGACUAUUGGAGCCAUUAGUGAGAUACCACUCUUGUAAUGUUAGAUUUCUAACUUUGAAUCAUGAUCUGGUCAAAGAACAGUUUCAGGCGGGCAGUUUGACUGGGGCGGUCGCCUCCUAAAUGGUAACGGAGGCGUACAAAGGUUUCCUCUGAACGGGUAGAAAUCGUAUCUAGAGUGUAAAGGCAUAAGGAAGCUUGACUGUGAGACCUACAAGUCGAGCAGGGACGAAAGUCGGUCUUAGUGAUCUGACGGUACUGAGUGGAAAGGCCGUCACUCAACGGAUAUAAGUUACUCUAGGGAUAACAGGCUGAUCUCCCUCAAGAGUUCACAUCGACGGGGAGGUUUGGCACCUCGAUGUCGGCUCAUCGCAUCCUGGGGCGGUAGUACGUCCCAAGGGUUGGGCUGUCCGCCCAUGAAAGCGGUACGCGAGCUGGGUUCAGAACGUCGUGAGACAGUUCGGUCCAUAUCCGGUGUAGGCGUUAGAAUAUUGAGAGGAGCCUUCUUUAGUACGAGAGGACCGAGAAGGACAUACCUCUGGUGUACCAGUUAUCGUGCCAACGGUAAACGCUGGGUAGCUAUGUAUGGAGUGGAUAACCGCUGAAAGCAUCUAAGUGGGAAGCCCACCUCAAGAUAAGUAUUCUCA
rnacentral:rRNA from 1 species